AGCGGCGGACGGGUGAGUAAUACUUGGGGAUCUGCCUGAUGGCGGGGGACAACCACUGGAAACGGUGGCUAAUACCGCAUAAUGCCUACGGGCCAAAGUGUGGGACCUUCGGGCCACAUGCCAUCAGAUGAACCCAAGCGAGAUUAGCUAGUUGGUGAGGUAAUGGCUUACCAAGGCGACGAUCUCUAGCUGUUCUGAGAGGAUGAUCAGCCACACUGGGACUGAGACACGGCCCAGACUCCUACGGGAGGCAGCAGUGGGGAAUAUUGGACAAUGGGCGCAAGCCUGAUCCAGCCAUGCCGCGUGUGUGAAGAAGGCCUUCGGGUUGUAAAGCACUUUCAGUGGUGAGGAAGGGCAUGAAGUUAAUAGCUGGCUGGAUUGACGUUAGCCACAGAAGAAGCACCGGCUAACUCCGUGCCAGCAGCCGCGGUAAUACGGAGGGUGCGAGCGUUAAUCGGAAUUACUGGGCGUAAAGCGCACGUAGGCGGCCUGUUAAGCAAGAUGUGAAAGCCCAGGGCUCAACCUUGGAAUUGCAUUUUGAACUGGCAGGCUAGAGUUUUGAAGAGGGUGGUAGAAUUUCCAGUGUAGCGGUGAAAUGCGUAGAUUUUGGAAGGAAUACCAGUGGCGAAGGCGGCCACCUGGUCAAAAACUGACGCUGAGGAGCGAAAGCGUGGGGAGCAAACAGGAUUAGAUACCCUGGUAGUCCACGCCGUAAACGAUGUCAACUAGUUGUUCGUGUCUUUGAGACGUGAGUAACGCAGCUUACGCACUAAGUUGACCGCCUGGGGAGUACGGCCGCAAGGUUAAAACUCAAAUGAAUUGACGGGGGCCCGCACAAGCGGUGGAGCAUGUGGUUUAAUUCGAUGCAACGCGGAGAACCUUACCAUCCCUUGACAUCCAGAGAAUUUCUAGAGAUAGAUAAGUGCCUUCGGGACUCUGAGACAGUGCUGCAGGGUGUCGUCAGCUCGGGUUGGGAGAAUUUGGGUUAAUCCCGCACGAGGGCACCCUUUUCUUAUUGCGGCCGUAAGGUGGGAAUCUUGGGGACGGCGGGAUAACCGAGGAAAGGGGGGGGAACUCCGUCUCCUGGCCCUCCGGAGGGGGACACC
rnacentral:rRNA from 1 species